rnacentral:rRNA from 1 species
UACAGAGGUCUCAAGCGUUGUUCGGAUUCAUUGGGCGUAAAGGGUGCGUAGGCGGCGCGGUAAGUCGGGUGUGAAAUCUCGGAGCUUAACUCCGAAACUGCAUUCGAUACUGCCGUGCUUGAGGACUGGAGAGGAGACUGGAAUUUACGGUGUAGCGGUGAAAUGCGUAGAUAUCGUAAGGAAGACCAGUGGCGAAGGCGGUUCUCUGGGAAUAUCCUGACGGCUGAGGAGCGAAAGUGUGGGGAGCGAACAGG